GCCGGACGCGGUGGCGCGCGCCUGUAGUCCCAGCUACUCGGGAGGCUGAGACGGGAGGAUCGCUUGAGCCCAGGAGUUCUGGGCUGUAGUGCGCUAUGCCGAUCGGGUGUCCGCACUAAGUUCGGCAUCAAUAUGGUGACCUCCCGGGAGCGGGGGACCACCAGGUUGCCUAAGGAGGGGUGAACCGGCCCAGGUCGGAAACGGAGCAGGUCAAAAAAAACUCCCGUGCUGAUCAGUAGUGGGAUCGCGCCUGUGAAUAGCCACUGCACUCCAGCAUGGGCAACAUAGCGAGACCCCGUCUCU
rnacentral:SRP_RNA from 1 species